AGCUCCAAUAGCGUAUCUUAAUGUUGUUGCAGUUAAAAAGCUCGUAGUCGAAUUUCUGUCCGGGAAACACCGAACUUACCGUGUGUAUUCCUAGGUCAUCCGCCUAUGAUAGUGUAAGGAGAUUAAUUUCUACUGCAUUGGAGUAGGCACUUUACUUUGAAGAAAUUAGAGUGUUUCAGGCAGGCCAUCGCUUGAAUACACCAGCAUGGAAUAAUGGAAUAGGACUCGUUCUGGUUAUUGGUGAAUUAGAAAGAGUAAUGAUUAAUAGGGACAGUUGGGGGCAUUCGUACUUGUUAGUCAGAGGUGAAAUUCUUCGAUUUAACAAAGACGAACUAAUGCGAAGGCAUCUGCCAAGGAUGUUUUCAUUG
rnacentral:rRNA from 1 species